rnacentral:lncRNA from 1 species
GACAAAGUUUUAAUGUAAAUAUUGAAUAUUUAACGGUAUUCAAAUAUGGAAAAAUUACUGAUACUUCGACAAAAGCUGGCCACAUGUGUACAAGAAAACCGGCUUUUCAGGAAAACCGCGGGAAACCGAAUCAUGAUUUAUAUUAUAUUUUGCCACACCAGGCAUGCCCCUUCAUUUAACAGGGCUUCCCAAGUUUUAGGCAUUUGUGGUUAUUUAUCAUCCUAAGAAUAACCAGGGCUGAAAACAAUAAGGCCAGAGGUCAACAUAGUCAACGGAGAGCUAGGCAUAACCUAUAAGAAAUCAAACCUUUCCAGGAUACUAUCAGGCUAGAAACCUCUUUAAGUUGGUUUCUUUAUGUAGAUUUACAUUUAUAAACCACUCAUGACUCACAGGUAAAGCUUAAAAUGUAUCUUUUUGUUAUGUAAAUUAUAAAUUUAGAGGUUAAAAUGUUAACGGAGCAAAAUUAUCUAAGUUGUCCCAUAAAAGACUGCCUGGGCUUAUUACUAUAAAAUAAAAGGGUAUUACUUACCCUUAUUACUAUAAAAUAAAGACAAAAUCUUGUACAACAUAGAAAACUCUAUAACUUUUGCUAAACUUAAAACGAUGCAUCCUAGUAUUAUUAAAACCACAGAUCUAUUUAAUGAAUUAAGACAAUUAGAACAACGAGUAGAUUCUAAUCAACUACCAAUAAAAAUUGAACUUGAGAACAUGCUUUUAAUAGAAAAAAUAAUAAAAAUAAGCUCUUACAUUCUAAAUAAUAGAAUUACAUUUAUCCUACAUGUUCCCGUAACAUUAACCGAAAAUUUUGAGAUAUUUCACUUAUAUGCUGCCCCUGUCCUUGUACAGAGUCGGCUUAAGGUUAUAUUACCGCGAAAUAAAUAUAUAAUAAAAAACAAAUUGCAUUACGCAUAUCAAAGCCAGGCUUGUCAAGAAGUCUCCACACAGCCUCUGAACAACUGUUUGGUCAAGGUCAAUGAACUUGUUAUUACUAACGAUGAUAAACCCACAGCCACUACUGUUUCCAGAUCUAAACAAAAAAGAUCAAUGAACCAUUGCCACUACUAAACCUAAGUUUCACAUCAACUGAUGUAAAGCUAGAUGAACUUUAGGAGUUGCAGAGCCAGAUAGUUGCAAUCGACCCUUCACUAGAAUUCUCCAGAGUAGCUGCUGUACCCUCAUUUUGGACAAUCCUUAUCUAUAUCAUGUUGGUAACUGGGAUUAGCUACCUAUGUUAUGCCAAAUUGAGAAAAAGAUACUGUACCCAGAAAAAAUGUCAAGAGGACAACUAGCGGCAGAGCUGUCACUAGGGGUGGAGGAGUUAUGUCACAGUCCCUUAUGGAGAAUGCUGAUCAUUGCUUAUGCUUAACUUGCUUUUUUACUCGUAUAAAUAUCCACCAUUUGUAAUUUUUAGUUAGUCAGUUGAAAUUGUAGCUACGCUAAGUUUGUACGAAAUAAAUAUUGUAUUUUUUAAAAAGGAGUUUGGCAUAUUCAAAUAGUUAACUCGUGUAACAUGUAAAUAUCUAAUAGGAUAUAUAAUUGUCAUGAAUAAAUAACUAUUUUUAUUACAGAAAAUAAAAAAUAACUAUUUUUUAUUACUCCAUUUACAGAAGAUUCAGAAGAAUCUUGCCAAGGAACUGAGGCAACUAUUUCAAAAGCAAAACUACUUCUACUUCAAAACUUUUUUUUAAAGGAGUUAAAACCACCCUUUAGGAUUUAAACAUCUGUUUUUUUAUCCUUAAAUUGAUUGCUUUUCAGAAAAAAACUGCAAAACACUUCAAUUUAAUUUCAUUUUAAUGAAAACAACAGAUUCUCGAAAAUUCCGCCACCCUGAAGGGGUGAAAUGGAAUGAAAACUUCUUGUGCAAAAAUUCUUUCUUUUUAAACUUAUAGAGUUGAAAAUUAAUAUUUUUACAUAUUAUUAAGUAUACCUAAGUAAUGCAUACAAAAUAAAAAUUGUGAUUUAAA